UGGCAAACAACGCUGACUUACGAAAAACACCGAGUAAAACCAGAGUAAAACAGCGCAUAGCAAAAUAUUUUCCGUGCAAAAUUUAAAAGGAUUAUUUACUUUAAUCUAUGAUAUAUAUAUAAUCCAUGUGGAAUCACUUUUAUAUUUCCGCCAUCUUGUGACCUUGCUUUUUGAGGCCGAGCAAGCAGUCCAAAUUACCAAUACAAAGUUGCUAAUACUAUGCUAAAUGUUUUUUUUUAUUUAUUUUUUUUUAUUUCUGAUGCUAUGUAAUUUUUCUAUAUUAUAAAUACCGAAAAAAACUUUCCAUGCAGUCUAGCCAGUUACCACAGCUAUUACUAAUGUCGUUUUAGGGAUUAUUUAAAAAGCUAUGUAUGACUAUAUAUCUACGCCCGGAUUACUUGUGCAAGCUAUAUCAAGUGUGUUAUGUGAAGGUUUGGAAUUUACUAGGAACAGCAAGAACGCUAGGAACGAGAGCAGGAAGAACGCUAGGGACGGCAAGAACGCUAGGAACGACGAGAACAGGAAGAACGCUAGGGACGGCAAGAAUGCUAGGGACGGCAAGAACGUUAGGAACAGCAUGAUCGCUAGAGCCUGCAAGGGGCUGCUCUGAAACGUAUUGCACAACAUAACACGUAGAACGAAUAAUUAUGACGUCCAUUUGGGGACUUUCAUAUGAAACUUCAGUCGAAGGUUUGGAUUCUAGCGAAGAUAGAUUUGUCCGCCAGGGUUGCCGACUCCUUUCUUGUGAUCAGUGCGAUCUUUGCCAAAAGGGUCAUGCGUUGGGUAGGCAUAACAUGUGCAUCCAUUAAAGAAAUAGAACAAUGAGGGACCACUAAAGUAUGGUCCAUAAGGGAGCCAGUAAUUCUUUUUCGUGCCACUACAAGCUGCUGCCACGUUCUUUAUAUUCUGACAACUAGUGUUAUAGUAGUUGUCAGAAUAUAAAAAAACGUGGCGGUAGUAUCUCCACUUCCCCUUCUGACCAGAUUUCCUCCAUUUGGUUGACAAACAAUCCAAUCAUUGAUGUUUCAUUUGAUCAUGAACUCAAUGUGCUUCCAAAGAUUCCAGUCUACUGCUCCAAGAGCUGACUCGCUGAGUGGAGGAGUGUUUGAGAUUGGGACAUUGGCGUGACUGUCAGGGCAGUUUGGACCUCGGUUUGGACGGGGGGUUACGGCAUCGGUUCCUGAAUCAGAAUUGUUGUAAUUUGUGAAGCCAAAGGUGUAGCUGUAAAUUUGUAAAGAUGUAGCUAAUAAAUCACCACCCAUAUUGAAUGAAGACAUUAAUUUUAAAUCUGAUGAUUUUGCUG